UGUUCACCAUCACAGCAGCGAUAUAUUCCCUGACUGCAUCCACACACCUCUAGAGGAGAAAAUGGGGCCCAAACCAGACUGUUGAGACUGCUUUCGCCGGAGGCCUUCUUCAAGCCUGGACCAUUCAGGAACAUCUAAACGAAGGUCCCUAGCCACCUGUGUGAUGCUAAUUAGUAGGGGUGUGCAGCGGAGCCAGUAUCUGUAUCUGUAACAAUCACUAAAUUAUUUGUAUUGUAUCUUUGUAUUAAAUGUCUUCUAACAGUCGGAGCCAUAGACACUAAAAAAAAAUGGACAACGCACCUUCACUCUCUUCCAUUGAAGAAAAGUCAGUUUAAUCU